rnacentral:lncRNA from 1 species
CUCACAAUACUCUUGAGCUUCAUCUCCUCGCCGCGACACAAAGAUGACCAUCCGCCACCUUGUCAGCACGCACGUUCUUCGCCCUCGAUGAUACACCUCAUCGUACAGCACUUCGGCUGUGAUGUACCUCCACUGCAACAGAGCACCACACAGACGAGCACUUGGACACAACCACGACUCACAGACGCUGACGACCUGGACGUACAUACGCAGCUUGACCC